GGCAGCCAAUGGCUGGGCAAGUAGGCAUGUACUUCUUUACCAUGACAGGGUUUGUAAGAUUUGAAUUUUUGUCAUGUUUUUAAAGAAAAAUAGGCCUACUCGCCAUUUUAAUUAACUAAAUGGCCUAAAACAUUCUUGUAUAAUCAUUUAACCAUAGAUGACAAGAUAUUACAUAGUAUUAAAAUCACAUUUUAUUGCUACGGUGGGAACCCCUUUGUGGACCUUAUGGCCAUAUCGUACCAUAUUAACGUAUUUAUAUAGGCCUAAUGUCUUUAUAGUAGAGCCUUACGCAUCAUUAUUGAGUUGAUGUGCUGUUGAAGGCUGUCGGAGAUACGCCCAUCAUGAAGAC